rnacentral:lncRNA from 10 species
UUUUGCCUCCUCCCUCUUUUCUCUCCAGUGAAUCACAGAACGGUGGAUGGCCAAGGCAGAGGAGGCUUUGCCAGAGAGAGAGCUGCGUGCUGCUCCAGCCCAGCGGGAUUCCGGGGGAUCCGCCUGGGCUACCGCGUCCCAAGAGUGUCGCCUCCUGCCCAUCACCCCGCUAGAGGGAAAGGACGGCGGCGCGAAUGGGGAAGGGUAAAGCGGGCACUUCUUUUCGUGGGGCUGUUGGUGAAGAGCCCCGUCUCCCAUCCCUAAAGUUGCGCUUGCAAACUUUUUCUAGCUUCUGGAGGGAGUGAGAGAGAAGGAGCAGGAAUAAAAACAAAAUGCGUAUGACACUCUUUCCUCUUUCCAACUUCCUUUGCAGGUUUUCCUUUACUAGUCCCCCCACCCCCAUCAUUUUCCUAUUCCUUUUGUCCCUACCUUUUUUUUUUUUUUUUUCAGUAACGAUGACAAAUUUUUAAGUUUUAUUUCCUCUCCCAAUAGCUGGCUUUUACAGCCUGAUUCUUCGUUACCCUUUCCCUAUGUGAAAAUACUGGAAUUGCCCGCUCCCUCUUACCUCUCCCCUAACUUACCCACAGGGUGUCUCCAGCCAAAAGCCUGGAGAGGAAGAGUUAUGCAUUUCUCCUUCAAGAACCCCGAAGCCAGUCUGCAUUCCUGCAUUAAAGAAGCCAGUGUUUCCCAUCCAGUAAUUCAGGGAGCUUCAUCAUUUUUUUUCCUUCUUUCUUUUUUACCAUGUGGAGGAAAACCAUUGUAAAAACUUAUCUUGGUUGUGAAAAUACUCUUGAUUUUACUAGAGUCAUAGAGUUUUAAAGUCCUGCUCAAAGGCAGCAGAGGGAUGUAUAGUAUAGUCUCUAUAGAAGAGGCAAUGAAUGCCAAGAGCCACUGAGAUAUUUUUUUCUACCACCAAAUUUAUUCAACAGUUACUUACUGAAUACCUACUGUGGGCUGGCACAUAACAUGUCAGAUUCUCUCAAUUGACUGAAACAUAAAUCUAGGUUUCAUUUAGCCAUUUAUUUCUAAUUCUCUCCUGUUGCUAAAGUUCCUGCUGAGUUCCCAGGCAAAACUUUGUGAAAUGGGAACUUUGAAAGGCACGAUGGUGCUCCAUGAAGUUAACCUUGCUAGCUGCUGUAGGCCUUCUGGUCUCUGUUCUUCCUUGCAGCCCUUCUGGCUAAGCUGGGGAGAGAUAGUCAGUUUUAGAAGCCAUGUUCAGAAAUGUGAGUUUAGCAAUUCUGUAAAUUAAGUCACCAAAUAUGUAAUGAGAGUACUGAGUGUCAGGGGAUUGAAAAGCAUUGAGAGGUAGGGCCCUAGGCUUAAUGGGCCUAGCCAGGUGCUUGAAUGGGAAAGAUGCAAACAUUCUGGUCAAUCUAGCCUUUUAUUUGGGGAGAUAGUGACUUCUUGUGACAUAGCACAAGAAGUAUCCAUGUUCUGUGCAAGAAGGAGACACAUUUUCAGUUGAGGUUCCAAGCAAUAAUAAUAAAAAACAAUCAAAAUGUAUGGAAUACUUACCAUGUGCUAACCAUAGUAUUCUAUAUACUGAUACAUACACACAUAUACAGUCGCAUCUAUCAGGGAUUAGUUUCAGAACCCUGAGGGAUACCAAAAUUCAUGGAUGUUCAAGUCCCUUAUGUAAAAUGGUGCACUAUGUGUAUAAAACCUACAUAUUAAUGUAUCUUCUAUGCUUUAAAACAUCUCUAUAUUACUUAUGAUACCUAAUACAAUGUAAAUGCUAUGAAAAUA